GUAAUAAUGAGAGCCAGGUGUGUGUAAUGAUGAGUGCCAGGUGUGUGUAAUGAUGAGUGCCAGGUGGGUGUAUUAAUGAGAGCCAGGUGUGUGUAAUGAUGAGUGCCAGGUGUACGUAAUGAUGAGUGCCAGGUGUGCGUAAUAAUGAGAGCCAGGUGUGCGUAAUAAUGAGUGCCAGGUGGGUGUAAUGAUGAGUGCCAGGUGGGUGUAAUGAUGAGUGCCAGGUGUGUGUAAUGAUGAGUGCCAGGUGUGUGUAAUGAUGGGUGCCAGGUGUGUGUAAUGAUGAGUGCCAGGUGUGUGUAAUGAUGGGUGCCAGGUGGGUGUAAUGAUGAGUGCCAGGUGUGUGUAAUGAUGAGUGCCAGGUGGGUGCAAUGAUGAGUGCAAGGUGUGUGUAAUGAUGAGUGCCAGGUGUGUGUAAUGAUGGGUGCCAGGUGUGUGUAAUGAUGAGUGCCAGGUGUGUGUAAUGAUGAGUGCCAGGUGGGUGUAAUGAUGAGUGCCAGGUGUGUGUAAUGAUGAGUGCCAGG
ensembl:lncRNA